UACGAAGGGGGCUAGCGUUGUUCGGAAUUACUGGGCGUAAAGCGCACGUAGGCGGACUUUUAAGUCAGGGGUGAAAUCCCGGGGCUCAACCUCGGAACUGCCUUUGAUACUGGAAGUCUUGAGUAUGGAAGAGGUAAGUGGAAUUGCGAGUGUAGAGGUGAAAUUCGUAGAUAUUCGCAGGAACACCAGUGGCGAAGGCGGCUUACUGGUCCAUUACUGACGCUGAGGCACGAAGGCCAGGGGAGCAAACGGGG
rnacentral:rRNA from 1 species